GGUAUCAGAAGUGCGAAUGCUGACAUAAGUAACGAUAAAGCGGGUGAAAAGCCCGCUCGCCGGAAGACCAAGGGUUCCUGUCCAACGUUAAUCGGGGCAGGGUGAGUCGACCCCUAAGGCGAGGCCGAAAGGCGUAGUCGAUGGGAAACGGGUUAAUAUUCCCGUACUUGGUGUUACUGCGAAGGGGGGACGGAGAAGGCUAUGUUGGCCGGGCGACGGUUGUCCCGGUUUAAGCGUGUAGGUGUGUGUUCCAGGUAAAUCCGGUUCACUUUAACACUGAGGCGUGACGACGAGGCACUACGGUGCUGAAGCAACAAAUGCCCUGCUUCCAGGAAAAGCCUCUAAGCAUCAGGUAACAUCAAAUCGUACCCCAAACCGACACAGGUGGUCAGGUAGAGAAUACCAAGGCGCUUGAGAGAACUCGGGUGAAGGAACUAGGCAAAAUGGUGCCGUAACUUCGGGAGAAGGCACGCUGACACGUAGGUGAAGUGAUUUACUCAUGGAGCUGAAGUCAGUCGAAGAUACCAGCUGGCUGCAACUGUUUAUUAAAAACACAGCACUGUGCAAACACGAAAGUGGACGUAUACGGUGUGACGCCUGCCCGGUGCCGGAAGGUUAAUUGAUGGGGUCAGCGCAAGCGAAGCUCCUGAUCGAAGCCCCGGUAAACGGCGGCCGUAACUAUAACGGUCCUAAGGUAGCGAAAUUCCUUGUCGGGUAAGUUCCGACCUGCACGAAUGGCGUAAUGAUGGCCAGGCUGUCUCCACCCGAGACUCAGUGAAAUUGAACUCGCUGUGAAGAUGCAGUGUACCCGCGGCAAGACGGAAAGACCCCGUGAACCUUUACUAUAGCUUGACACUGAACAUUGAGCCUUGAUGUGUAGGAUAGGUGGGAGGCUUUGAAGUGUGGACGCCAGUCUGCAUGGAGCCGACCUUGAAAUACCACCCUUUAAUGUUUGAUGUUCUAACGUGGACCCGUGAUCCGGGUUGCGGACAGUGUCUGGUGGGUAGUUUGACUGGGGCGGUCUCCUCCUAAAGAGUAACGGAGGAGCACGAAGGUUGGCUAAUCCUGGUCGGACAUCAGGAGGUUAGUGCAAUGGCAUAAGCCAGCUUGACUGCGAGCGUGACGGCGCGAGCAGGUGCGAAAGCAGGUCAUAGUGAUCCGGUGGUUCUGAAUGGAAGGGCCAUCGCUCAACGGAUAAAAGGUACUCCGGGGAUAACAGGCUGAUACCGCCCAAGAGUUCAUAUCGACGGCGGUGUUUGGCACCUCGAUGUCGGCUCAUCACAUCCUGGGGCUGAAGUAGGUCCCAAGGGUAUGGCUGUUCGCCAUUUAAAGUGGUACGCGAGCUGGGUUUAGAACGUCGUGAGACAGUUCGGUCCCUAUCUGCCGUGGGCGCUGGAGAACUGAGGGGGGCUGCUCCUAGUACGAGAGGACCGGAGUGGACGCAUCACUGGUGUUCGGGUUGUCAUGCCAAUGGCACUGCCCGGUAGCUAAAUGCGGAAGAGAUAAGUGCUGAAAGCAUCUAAGCACGAAACUUGCCCCGAGAUGAGUUCU
rnacentral:rRNA from 9 species